GGAAUAUUGCACAAUGGGGGAAACCCUGAUGCAGCGACGCCGCGUGGGUGAAGAAGUAUUUCGGUAUGUAAAGCCCUAUCAGCAGGGAAGAUCAUGACGGUACCUGACUAAGAAGCCCCGGCUAACUACGUGCCAGCAGCCGCGGUAAUACGUAGGGGGCAAGCGUUAUCCGGAUUUACUGGGUGUAAAGGGAGCGUAGGUGGCGUGCCAAGUCAGGAGUGAAAACCCAGGGCCCAACCCUGGGACUGCUCUUGAAACUGGCAGGCUUGAGUGCUGGAGAGGUAAGCGGAAUUCCUAGUGUAGCGGUGAAAUGCGUAGAUAUUAGGAGGAACACCAGUGGCGAAGGCGGCUUACUGGACAGUGACUGACACUGAGGCUCGAAAGCGUGGGGAGCAAACAGGA
rnacentral:misc_RNA from 1 species